GACGAACGCUGGCGGCGUGCUUAACACAUGCAGGUCGAACGGAAAGGCCCUGCUUUUGUGGGGUGCUCGAGUGGCGAACGGGUGAGUAACACGUGAGUAACCUGCCCUUGACUUUGGGAUAACUGCAGGAAACUGGGGCUAAUACCGGAUAGGAGCUCCUGCUGCAUGGUGGGGGUUGGAAAGUUUCGGCGGUUGGGGAUGGACUCGCGGCUUAUCAGCUUGUUGGUGGGGUAGUGGCUUACCAAGGCUUUGACGGGUAGCCGGCCUGAGAGGGUGACCGGCCACAUUGGGACUGAGAUACGGCCCAGACUCCUACGGGAGGCAGCAGUGGGGAAUAUUGCACAAUGGGCGGAAGCCUGAUGCAGCAACGCCGCGUGCGGGAUGACGGCCUUCGGGUUGUAAACCGCUUUCGCCUGUGACGAAGCGUGAGUGACGGUAAUGGGUAAAGAAGCACCGGCUAACUACGUG
rnacentral:rRNA from 1 species